CGUGACUGCAGGGAUCCCAUACGCUUUGGUUCUUUCGGUAAAGUCAUCACGUAGUAGGUAUAAACUUAAAAUAAAUCACGACGUUUCGGGCGCAACACAAGCGUCCAUCAUCAGGUGGGGGAAGCAUCACGCUUCCCCCACCUGAUGAUUUUACCGAAAUAACUAAAGAGUACUAUUAUAUACCGUCGCACGCUAUAUAAUAUACGUGAAUAUUUGGGGGGGGGGGUUACUCAAUUCGUUUGGACUACGUGGGGGGCAUUCGACAGUUCGUGUAACUUUCGUUUGCGAGAAUAACAACCUUAACACACCCCCCACCCCCCACCCACACCGGUUGCCGUAAGUUAUCCACGUUUAAAACAAAAAUAUAUACAUAUAUAGAUACCGUUGCCAUGGUUACCCACGACGACUUUCUACACGUAAGUCUAAAGUUGAGUCGGUUGUUCCUCGCGGCUCCCGUGGUUUUUUUUUCGUUUUUGUAACAAAAUCAACGGAAUCUGUAUCGGCUCUGCACUGCCAAACACGAGCCCGCUCCCACGUGCCCGCUACCUCCCAAGAAUAAAACGCAGUUUGUGUGCGAACGAUCUCUCUCUCUCUCUCUCGUUUAUCUGCACACCCCCACCCCCCACCCGCCGACACCAUUUCUACGUGUGCCAUGAAGAAGGGGCAUUUCCCGGAACGUCGCUUAGCCGGAGCGGCGCGUUCGCCUGUUAUGCAGCGCGACCGCGUGGUAUGAUGAGCGGUUUGCGUAAUCACGGGGUGAAGCGCAUACCGUGUCAACAACCCACACGGUUUACGCUGUUCAAAUCCGGGUCACAACAAUUAUAUUUGUUUAGGACUUUGUAGGAUGAACGUUGAGAUUCGUAAGGGGCACGGGGGGGUGGGUGAUCAAUAAUGUCAGUAAUUGUUCUGUGAUAAGGUAGGGCACUGAUAAGGGGUUGACAGGUUUGUAGUGGUGAGUGUAGUCGUGAGUGUACUAGUGGUGAGUGUACUAGUGGUGAGUGUAGUGGUGGUUAUUGUCGAUGCAUUUGUGUUCCUCCCUGGUGAUGGAACGUCGUAGGAUGAACGUUGAGAUUCGUAAGGGGCACGGGGGGGGGUUGACCAAUAAUGUCAGUAAUUGUUCUGUGAUAAGGUAGGGCACUGAUAAGGGGUUGACAGCUAUGUAAGCGCAGUGGCAGGGAAGUGUUGCGCUUUUUAGUUUUGUUGAGACGAUAAAUAUUUCAAAAGAACCGCACUGAUCUACUGAUUGCGCUGGGAGAAUUUCAGUGCAGGGAACAAGGCGGCAGACCGGGCGACGGAGGGUUACCAGCAAUCGGGUUUCGCGACCAGUGCCGGAUGAUCCAAGUAGCACAAGUAUCUGCAAAUGAUCUUGGUUCUUUCGGUUAAAGUCACGUAUUUUUUAUAUUUUUUAUUGUAUUACGUUUUAUUUUUGUUAUUUUAUUUCCAUUCCACGUGGUGACUUUACCGAAAGAACCAAGAAGAUGAAUCCCUGCAGUCACGAAAGCUUUAAAUCGAAAUUUAGCUGCAUAUGCUACGUGCCCCGCACUUUCAAGGGACCCCGCGCUAAACGCUUUCAAGCUAUCAACUCCGGUUCGGUGAUUCUAAACUUGCUCUAUUGCUAUAGUACUAUACCGCCCUUCAGCUUUAUCGAUCGACUGGGUGUUUCAUGUUUAGCGAUUCGUCGUAUUAUCUGGCUGUAUAGCAAAUGAAAAAAAAUACAAUUACUUUACUGUGCAAGUAAAAAUUUCGUGUUUUUUUAAUAUUUGUGUGAUUUCUUUUUGCUACAGGCCCUCCGCCCUAGCUUCAUCCGCCACUGUGUAAAGGUGGAGUGAGCGUUGGCAUCUCUGCUCGCUAACAGCACUUGCCACGAAACAGUGUUAAGGCUAUACGGGGGAUCUUUGUCUUUGUUGCGUAUCUAUGGCUCGGGAGGAAGAGGGGAGGGUGGCUUGGCCCCUCCUGCGUCUAACAACACCCCGUCCCCCCCUCCGCAUUAUCUCAUUGUCAUCAUCGUUAAUAUUAAAGGUACGUGAAGUUAA